CCUACGGGAGGCAGCAGUGAGGAAUAUUGGUCAAUGGACGAGAGUCUGAACCAGCCAAGUAGCGUGAAGGAUGACUGCCCUAUGGGUUGUAAACUUCUUUUAUAUGGGAAUAAAAUGUUCCACGUGUGGGAUUUUGUAUGUACCAUAUGAAUAAGGAUCGGCUAACUCCGUGCCAGCAGCCGCGGUAAUACGGUGGAUCCGAGCGUUAUCCGGAUUUAUUGGGUUUAAAGGGAGCGUAGGUGGAUUGUUAAGUCAGUUGUGAAAGUUUGCGGCUCAACCGUAAAAUUGCAGUUGAAACUGGCAGUCUUGAGUACAGUAGAGGUGGGCGGAAUUCGUGGUGUAGCGGUGAAAUGCUUAGAUAUCACGAAGAACUCCGAUUGCGAAGGCAGUUCACUGGACUGCAACUGACACUGAGGCUCGAAAGUGUGGGUAUCAAACAGGAUUAGAUACCCGAGUAGUC
rnacentral:rRNA from 1 species